ACAACAUCAGACUGUCCUGAAACUGUGUAGUUGACACCGGGAGAAGGUGUACUGUCCAUCUGAGGUGAAUUUGGUUUGUGGAAACUAGCACUUUUAUUUUUAUGAUUUUUUUUAAUUUAUAGACAAAACAGCGUAUAUUUGAAGUUUGGGGGACUUUUAUUUUGGAAUACAACAUCAGACUGUCCUGAAACUGUGUAGUUGACACCGUGAGAAGGUGUACUGUCCAUUUGAGCUGAAUUUGGUCUGUGGAAACUAGGACUUUUCUUAGUUUUAGAAUGUAUGGACAAAACAUUGCAUAUAUGAGUGUUGGAGGGCUUUUAUUUUGGAAUUUAGCAGCAGACAGUGUCAGACUGUGAGGUGUACUAUAAUUUUCAGGUGACUUUGGCUUGUUAAAUUUUUAUUUAUAUUUUAUUUAUUUAGGCCUUUUUUCCAUUUACUCGGGGAGACUUUUGUUUUGGAAUUCAGCAUAUCAUACAGUGACAGGGUCCGACGUGUACUAUCUUUUUUAGGUGAAAUUGGGCUGUGAAUUUUUUUUUCAUUUAUAUUUAUUUAUUUAGGCCUGUUUUAUUAUUAUUAUUAUUAUUAUUAUUAUUAUUAUUCAGGCAGACAUUUAUUUUGGAUUUCAGCAUAUCAUACAGUGACAGGCUGUGAGGUGUACUAUCAUUUUCAGGUGAAAUUGGGCUGUAAAAUAUGUAUUUAUUUAGUUAUUUUCAUUUAUUCAGACAGACUGACUGAAUAAAUAAAUGUGAAAUCGCUUUGACAGAAGAUUACUUGUUUUCAGAUCACUUCUCUGACGGUCUUACCGUAAUAGCCAGUGUAUGCGCGAACAGCAAAAUAUAGUGGCAGCUAGAUUGACCGUGCAUUUCGCGGUGGCGACUGGCUUGGAGCAGCGAGUUUUAUGCGUGUGAGUUAGGCGGCUGUUCAUGCUAUUACGCCGAUGCUCAGAUUUAAAAAAAGAAAUGUGAAUUACCCCUCUUGUAACCCGUGUUAUCCACGCUGAAGAGAUUGGAGUGUUCGCAGCGGAAAAUAAGGCUUAGAUUGUAUUUCCUGUGUGAGAAUUUGCAGCAUGAGAACCAGCUUCUGUGUCUGUGUGUUUGCAGUAUUGAUAAACAAAGGUGAGUGUAGCAGGAACCACAUUUUCAUUGGUGUGUCUGCAGGCCACAGUUAAAGGGAAAAUUGGAGGCUUUGCUGUCUUGCCUUGUACUUCCACUGACAAUGACCUUAAAUAUGAAGAUAUAACAGUUUAUUGGAGACAUAACAGCAGCCAAAAAGUUUAUGACAUAAUUGAGG